GAUGAACGCUGGCGGCGUGCCUAAUACAUGCAAGUCGAGCGAACAGACGAGGAGCUUGCUCCUCUUACUUUAUCGGCUGACGUGUGAGUAACACGUUGAUAACCUACCUAUAAUACUGGUAUAACUUCGUGAAACCUUAGCUAAUACCGGCUAAUAUAUUUAACCGCAUGGUUCAUUAGUUAAAUACUUUUUUUCUUUCUCUUCUCGAUUGUUCCGCGCCGCAUUAGCUAGUUGGUAAGGUAACGGCUUACCAAGGGAACGAUGCGUAGCCGACCUGAGAGGGGGAUAGGACAAACGGGAAGUGAGACACGGACAAGACGACGACGGGAGGAAGCAGUAGGGAAUAGUCGGAAAUGGGCGAAAGCAUGACGGAGCAAAGCAGCGGGAGGGAUGAAGGUAUUAGGAUCGGAAAAAACGGUUAUGAGGGAAGAAAAAAAGUGUAAGAAAAGAUGGAGGGAGUGACGGUAACUAAAAAGAAAGCAACGGCUAACUACGUG
rnacentral:rRNA from 1 species